rnacentral:misc_RNA from 1 species
UUUCCGUAGGUGAACCUGCGGAAGGAUCAUUAUUGCAUAACCGAGGUGCGAGGGCUGUCGCUGACCCGAAAGGUCGUGCACGCCCGAGUGCCCUCACACACAUCCAUCACACCCCUGUGUGCACCACCGCGUGGGUCCCCCUUUGGCUUGUUCGGAGGGGGGCUUACGUUUUCACACAAACUUUGUAUGCAGUGUAGAAUGUAUUUUUUGUUUUUGCGAUCACGCAAUCAAUACAACUUUCAACAACGGAUCUCUUGGCUCUC